CGCGCCGCCCGGUCGCCGGAGCGUUACCGGUACCGUGCCUCCCGCCAUAGCUGGGCGGAGAAGCGUCGGGCUGCCCGUGCCCGAAGGGUGGUACAGAAGGGGGGGUCGCGCAGAAGGUGUUCCCCGCAGGAACCAGGAUGGGUAUCCAAGUCACAUGCAAAAUUAAUUGUUACGCUGGUUUAGAUGAAGAUUCAUUCCCCCAACGGUUAUUUAAUAGUGGGAUGCAGACACCUCAUUCUUCAUCCACAACAAGCCACCCAACAAACCUCAAACUGGCAACUUCUGCUUAUCCAUAAUGC